rnacentral:rRNA from 1 species
GACGAACGCUGGCGGCGUGCUUAACACAUGCAAGUCGAACGGAAAGGCCCUGCCUUUGUGGGCUGCUCGAGUGGCGAACUGGUGAGUAACACGUGAGUAACCUGCCCUUGCCUUUGGGAUAACUUCAGGAAACUGGGGCUAAUACCGGAUAGGAGCUCCUGCUGCAUGGUGGGGGUUGGAUAGUUUCGGCGGUUGGGGAUGGACUCGCGGCUUAUCAGGUUGUUGGUGGGGUAGUGGCUUACCAAGGCUUUGACGGGUAGCAGGCCUGAGAGGGUGACCGGCCACAUUGGGAUGGAGAUACGGCCCAGACUCCUACGGGAGGCAGCAGUGGGGAAUAUUGCACAAGGGGCGGAAGCCUGAUGCAGCAACGCCGCGUGCGGGAUGACGGCCUUCGGGUUGUAAACCGCUUUCGCCUGUGACGAAGCGUGAGUGACGGUAAUGGGUAAAGAAGCACCGGCUAACUACGUG